CGUGGUGGGCUGCGACUUUUGACUGAUUGAGAGUCCUCCAUCCGCAGCUCCUCCGUCUUCCUCCCAAGCCUUUUACCUUUUCUUUCUUUCUUCUCCAAAACUAGCAAUCUGAGAUUUGAACCUCUCUCUCUAAGAAGCAGCGGCAUGCUUUUCCAAACGUAAUCUGCAAUUUAAUCAAACAGCCACCGAAUUUUCUGGAAUCCUGUCAACGCAGAGAUGCUUCGGAUUUUGAUCGGUCAACGCCAGCUGCUUACCUGAGCUCCAAAAGAUCCAACAGUGAUGACGUCCUCCACCUCUGUUUCUGUUUGGCUGAUUCUGCUGUUUGGCUUCUUUCACCUCUACAAGCUUGCUGCCAAUGUCGUCUCUGUGUGUUAUUGAAUUUGGGAGUGUUUGGUUGUGGGAACCGGAAUGAACUAAUGAAUGAAUGAAUGAAUGACUGAAUGACUGGAAACAUUCCCGAAGAGCUUGGGGGUUUGUCAGACUUGGUGAGCUCGGAUCUUUACUUGGCAACCUUGCAAAACUGCGUUUCCUAUAUGAACCCGCAUCCUUUUGUUAGAUAAAAUCUAUCGUCUUUCUUUUUUAUUCGAUAUGCUAAUCUGCUGUUUUUAAUUGUUCCAUUGGAGUGACUUUCUUCCUUAAAGUCCUUGUGCCGGAUGCAUAUAAUUUAUAGUAUGAUCCCUGGUUUCAAGAUUCACAAGAAGGGAACAUCCAGUCAUUGCAAGUCCUGUGAAUUUCAUACACUUUCAUCUCAGUAAGAGGGAGGAGAGAGUGAAAAGUUACUAAUUUCUCUACCAUCGGAGAAUGCAAAUAACAUAUAGUUUUGCCAUGGAAUGCAGGG
rnacentral:lncRNA from 1 species